GAUGCCUGGUUUCUCAUGUUUUCUUUGUAUUUGGCCUGUUGUAAUACGUCACCUUGCUUGAAGGAUGGAGAAAAAUCUGUUCUCAAAUGCGUAUGACUGAGAAAGAAAGGUUUUUGUGGCCUCCUUAAUUGUGUUCCGGAGACUCCCCAAGAGUCCUGUCUGCUUCUCCCACAGGUGGAAGAUCACACAUCAGACGACACCAAGGAGACCUUGAAGCACUAAGUUCCUCAGUUGAAACGCUGUGAAGACAACGAGGAUCAGGAGGACACGCUGAUGGCGGCCACCCUCUAGGGGAGAACGGGCUCCGGAACCUCACAGAGAUGAUGAUGCUACCUACGUACCAGUAUACAGAACUGACUAUCAAAAUGCCUAGGGGCUUUUGGUCCCUCCUUGAAUGUCCUCUACCUCCAGCAUCAACUUUAUACCCAGAGGUGCCUGUCUCCAGAUGAAAUACAUUCUGUCUGUAUGGAAACAUUUAAGCAAAGGAAACACUGCCG
rnacentral:lncRNA from 1 species